rnacentral:rRNA from 1 species
GAUCCUGGCUCAGGAUGAACGCCGGCGGCGUGCUUAACACAUGCAAGUCGAACGAAGCACUUUAUUUGAUUUCCUUCGGGACUGAUUAUUUUGUGACUGGGUGGCGGACGGGUGAGUAACGCGUGGGUAACCUGCCUUGUACAGGGGGAGUAACAGUUGGAAACGGCUGCUAAUACCGCAUAAGCGCACGGCAUCGCAUGAUGCAGUGUGAAAAACUCCGGUGGUAUAAGAUGGACCCGCGUUGG